rnacentral:misc_RNA from 1 species
AAUUUGGGAAGGGGCCGCGGCAAGAUGACGGACGUUUUGAGUAGGAAAUGUUCAUGAACGACGUUGGCAGCCCUGUCUCCAGUCCGUCGGCGAGGUAUUAACGCAUUGUCUAGCUUAAGGCGCGUUUAACCUCAGUUUUUGUGUUGUUCGCGAUUUGUUCAUCGUUCGCCCCUUCGCAGAUGAUGGUCGGCGCAAACAGCGAGAACUAUGAGAAAAAGGAGAAAACCGACGAGGACGCAGAGUCGCUGGAGGAACAGCCGCUCGACAUAGGCGAACAUUACCUCGUCCGGCGAAAAUCCGACGACUGGCUCCCUGCCGAGAUAAUCCAGUCGAGGUUUAACGAUCAGGAGAACCAUUACGAAUAUUACGUCCACUACGAAGGCUACAACAGAAGACUAGACGAAUGGGUUCCUAGAGACAGGAUAAUGAACUCGAGGUUUGAUAUGUCAGAACAACAAUGGAAAAACAUAGACAGACCUUCGACAGACAUUUUACUCGAGCAGACGGAUCGAAAGAUAACGAGAAACCAAAAACGCCGCCAUGAUGAAAUCAAUCAUGUUCAGCAGACUUAUGCUGAAAUGGACCCGACAACUGCCGCCUUGGAAAAGGAGCAUGAAGCCUUCACAAAAGUAAAGUACAUCGACAGAAUACAAAUCGGUGCUUACGAAAUUGACACCUGGUACUUCAGCCCCUACCCAGAUGAGUUCAGCAAAGUCAGCAAGCUCUGGAUAUGCGAGUAUUGCCUUAAAUAUGCUCGGUUUGAGCGAAGCUACCGUGAACACUGUGAUGUAUGCCCUCAUCGUUAUCCGCCAGGAAAUGAAAUUUAUAGAAAAGGAACUCUAGCAAUUUGGGAGGUGGACGCUUGUUCACAGAAAGUCUAUUGCCAGAAUUUAUGCCUUUUGGCAAAGCUAUUCCUCGACCACAAGACUCUCUACUUCGACGUAGAACCCUUUCUAUUUUAUAUACUGUGCGAGAUCGACAGGGAAGGAGCUCACCUCGUGGGCUAUUUUUCAAAAGAAAAGGAAUCGGCUGAAGGGAACAAUGUGGCCUGCAUCCUCACACUGCCUCCUUAUCAGAGGCAAGGUUAUGGAAAACUCUUAAUAGCUUUUAGCUAUGAACUGUCCAAAUUGGAAAGGUCAGUCGGUAGCCCUGAGAAACCACUUAGUGAUCUUGGAAAAUUGUCAUACAGGUCCUAUUGGUCUUGGGUUUUGUUAGAUAUAUUGCGAGACUUCAGAGGAUCGGUAUCAAUUAAAGAUUUGAGCGAGAUGACAAGCAUAACUCAGACUGACAUCAUAUCAACCCUGCAGAGUAUGAAUAUGGUCAAAUAUUGGAAAGGCCAGCAUGUAAUAUGCGUGACACCGAAGUUAGUGGAGGAACACAUCCGCUCGGCGCAGUUCAAACGACCCCGGCUCACUGUAGAUGUCAACAACCUGCUUUGGGCGCCGCCGAAAAAAAUCGUCCACAACUCUACCAAGCAAUUAAAAAAAGCUUAGCCUUCGACACGAUUCGUUGGGACAUUUUUUUUUUAUGCGAGUGCUGUCUGAAGAAACUAUCAAGGUAUCUGGGGACGGGUAAUUCGUUUCGAUCACUACAUUUCGAAUUUCUUCUGGGUCGUUCUACAGUUGCCCAAAUUAUUCGAGACACAUGUGCAGCUAUAUGGACGAAAAUGAAAACAGAGUAUCUACACAUCCACCGACCAUUGAAGACUGGAUAAAUAUCAGCGAUCAUUUUGAAAAAAGAGCCAACUUCCCCCAUUGUAUUGGGGCCAUAGAUGGAAAACACAUCAGAAUGAUUAAGCCGAGGGGUUCAGGGAGCGAAUAUUUCAAUUAUAAGAAGUAUUUUUCCGUGGUGUUAAUGGCUGUAGCAGAUAGCAACUACUGCUUCACUUACAUAGACGUAGGGUCGUUCGGCCAUGAUGGAGAUUGUAACAUAUUAAAAUCAACCGAAGUUGGAAAACAGAUAUACAGCCGAACUUUAAACUUACCACAACCCGCCCCUCUCCCUAACGAUCCAUUGCAAUUAGUAAUGCCGUAUGUGUUUGUGGCUGAUGAGGCUUUUGCAGUAAGUGAAAAUUUGCUGAGACCAUACCCUGCGAAAAACCUGACUUCAGAAAAAAAAAAAUUUCAAUUACCGAUUGUCAAGGGCCCGACGUUAUGUAGAAUGCGCUUUUGGGAUUUUAUCAAAUAAGUGGCGAAUUUUACAUCGCCCCAUCGAUGUCCACAUCAAUGUUGCUGACACAAUUAUUCAAGCAUGUUGCUUACUCCAUAAUUUUGUAAGACGGCAUGACGGGUAUAAUUUUGACGACACAUUGUCAUGCUCCUUGGAAAGCAUCCCCUCACUUGGUACAAGAGGAAGUAAUAAUGGUAAAACCGUACGAGAUAGUUUUAUGAAUUACUUUUGUUCUGCUGAAGGGUCACAACCCUGGCAAAAUAAUUACGUCAACAUCCCAGAAUAAGGGCGCGUUGUAACAUAACUUUCGAUUGGUUACUUAACGGUUAUACUUAUUUCAAAUUAUUCAAAUAAAUAGUUUAUAAACAGUA